UUAUAAGUAACAACUCGGUUUCAAAAAUGUUUGGGGUCUUUUUCCUUUUUUUAUUUUUCCCCACCAAACCAAAGAAUAUCAAUGAAAAGAGCAGAGUCUCACAGUGUAUCUCUUCAUGCUCGGUUAAUAGCCCCUUGGAAAGGACAAAUAAAAACGAGGAGUGGUGCAAUCAUUGGGUUUAUCCUGCUUCUGAAGGAUUUACUGUUGAUAGCUCAUUUUAUAGUGUUAUAUGGAAUCUCCUGGACGUCCAGCACUGUCUGGAGUAGCUGUGAAGUCUCCUCACAUGUAAAGGGUGCUGGCUCCCUGGAACUGCUGAUAAGAGUGAUGGAGUGCAGGGACACUGAACUUGGUGUUUGGAGAUGGGUCAGAGGGCUGAUGGUUUUUCUUUGGCUGCCUUGACUUGUGCCUCUCUGAACAGGAAACGAAAAGGCCCUUUUCAACACUCUGUGUGAAGUUCUGCCUCUCUUGGAGAGCAUCAAACGCUGCUGUGGCUGUGAGAGGGAAGGGCUGGUUGGCGUCCCUGAGAAGGAAGGGCUGGUUGGCGUCCCUGAGAAGGAAGGGCUGGUUGGGGUCCCUGAGAAGGAACAUCUAUGGUUCAGUGCUGUGUGUGGCUCUGAGGUCUGAAAUGAGCUUCUGCUGAUCAAAGUUCCAGUGUGAAACUGUGGUUGAGCCUCCCAGUGUGUUCCCUGUGCCAAAGGCAAUGUUCCUGAUGGUGCUUUGUGGCACUUCCAGAGGCUGCCCCUGGCUGUGCUCAUCACCUGGUUAAUCCUUCCUCUGACACACUCAGAGGAGAGGAAGGUUCCCAAGAAGCUGUUUCCACCCCACUGCUGAAAGACCACUCCAAAAUUCCUGGCUCAACUGAAGAAGAGUGAAGAUUCCAAAGUUUCACCAACCAGAGCUGAAAACUAGAAAAUCUGGCAAAAAAGCCAAGCUGCUUUUGGAAGUCCCAUCCCCAGGUGAGCCCCUGACCUGAGUGAAACCAAUGCUUGGCCUAUUUUUGGGUCCCCCAGCACUGUCCAUGAGCGUGGUGUGUUUCUACCACAGGUAAAAGGAGUCAUUCCCCACAGGCCAAGAGGAAUAAAACCAGGGAAAAUAAAACUUCCAAAGGAACUGGGAGACAGCAGUAGUGGCAGAGGGAAGGAGUUGCUUGGUGCUGAGCUCUGGAGGCCAUCCCGAUGUGUUGGUUUAUUCCUUGAUGACACACUGAAUUUAUGGGGGUUUUUGCCAGGAGCCUGAAGCAGCAAGUGCUUCAUUUCUGAGCAAACAGUGCACUGAGCUAGUUCAGCAGGGAAUGAGUUUGGAGCCAGGGAAAUGCCCAGUGGCUUUGAUCCUCACAGACACAGGGUGAAUCACAGGCAUUGGCAGGAGGACAAGCUGCAGCCCCAAGUGGGUUUAUCUUCAACACAGUAGUUUUGUUUCUGGAAACGUUGAAGUGUUCAAUUCACAAGCUGCUAGUAAUUUUAGCUUUGAUUUCAUAGCUACCAGAAAUAACUUUAUAGCUCCUGAGAUAGCUCAUAUCUUCAUGGGAUGGACCCUGUCCCAUCUUACACAGGCCUGUUGAUUCAUCAGUCCUCCUGAUUUGCUGUGCUGAGCAUUUGUAUAUGAAGCACAAUGAGAAACAUAUUAAAACUGUGUGUAAAAAUGCUGAUCAUCUUGCAAAACCUAUAGAUUUGUACUCUUCUUUCUCAAGGUUCCCAUUAAAAAAUAAAAAAGGCUGUAAAACC